rnacentral:lncRNA from 1 species
CCCAGCAAAGAGUUACACCAAAGAUUUCCUUCCUUCCUUCCUUUUUUCCUUCCUUUCUUCCUUCUUUCUUUCCUUCCUUCCUUUUUUCCUUCCUUUCUUCCUUCUUUCUUUCCUUCCUUCCUUUUUUCCUUUCUUCCUUCCUUCCUUCCUAUCUUCCUUCUUUCCUUCCUUCCUUUUUUCCUUUCUUCCUUCCCUCCUUCCUUCUUUUUUCUUCCUUUCUUCUUUCUUUCUUUCUUUCUUUCUUUCUUUCUUUCUUUCUUUCUUUCUUUCUUUCUUUCUUUCUUUCUUUCUUUCUUUCUUUCUUUCUUUCUUUCUUUCUUUCUUUCUUUCUUUCUUUCUUUCUUUCUUUCUUUCUUUCUUUCUUUCUUUCUUUCCUUCUCUCCUUUCUUUCCUUCUUUCUUUCUUUCUACCUUCCUCCCUAUCUUUUUUCUCUCCUUUCUUUCCUUCUUUCUUUUCCUGUUUCUUUGUUUCUUCCUUUUGUUCUUUCUUCCUUCCUUCCUUCCUUUAUUUCUUUUUUCUUCCUUCCUUCCUCCCUCCCUAUCUUUCUUUCUCUCCUUUCUUUCCCUGUUUCUUUGUUUCUCUCUUCCUUCCUUCCUUCUUCCUUCCUUCCUUUCUUUCUCCUCUAUCUUUCUUUCUUUCUACCUUCCUCCCUAUCUUUCUUUUUCUCCUUUCCUUCUUUCUUUCCCUGUUUCUUUCUUUUGUUCUUUCUUUCUUCCUUCCUUUAUUUCUUUUUUUCUUUCUUCCUUCCUCCCUCCCUCCCUAUCUUUCUUUCUCUCCUUUCUUUCCCUGUUUCUUUGUUUCUCUCUUCCUUCCUUCCUUUCCUUCUUUCUUUCUUUUGUUCUUCCUUCCUUCCUUCCUUUCUUUCUCUUCUUUCUUUCUUUCUUUCUUUCUUUCUUUCUUUCUUUCUUUCUACCUUCCUCCCUAUCUUUCUUUCUCUCCUUUCCUUCUUUCUUUCCCUGUUUCUUUCUUUUGUUCUUUCUUUCUUCCUUCCUUUAUUUCUUUUUUCUUUCUUCCUUCCUUCCUCCCUCCCUCCCUAUCUUUCUUUCUCUCCUUUCUUUCCCUGUUUCUUUGUUUCUCUCUUCCUUCCUUCCUUUCCUUCUUUCUUUCUUUUGUUCUUCCUUCCUUCCUUCCUCCCUCCCUCCCUCCUUCCCUCUCUCUCUCUCUCUCUCUCUCUCUCUCUCUCUCUCUCUCUCUCUCUCUCUCUCUCUCUCUCUCGCUUUCUUGCUUGCUUUUUUUUUUAAACCCUUACCUUUUGUCUUGGAGUCAAUACUGUGUAUUGGCUCCAAGGGUGAAGAGUGGUAAGGGCUAGGCAAUGGGGGUCAAGUGACUUGCCCAAGGUCACACAGCUGGGAAGUGUCUGGGGCCAGAUUUUAACCUAGGACCUCCCUAGGUCUGGCUCUCAAUCCACUGAGCUACCCAGCUUCCCCCUCUUUCUUUCUUUCUUUCUUUCUUUCUUUCUUUCUUUCUUUCUUUCUUUCUUUCUUUCUUGCAUGCUUGCUUGCUUGCUUGCUUUCUCUCAAUU